AAAUAUUAUAAAUAUUAUAUCUAACAUAAUGAGUAUCUAUAAUAUAAUAUAUUAUAGAUACUCAUUAUGCGUGUCUUCUCGUGCGUUAUAACGCACGUAAUUUUAAUCCUCGUGUGGGACAUUAGGGGGGGUCUUAAAAACUCGAUUCUCUUUACUAAACAUCAUCAUACAACAAGUUUUUAUCCUGGGGUGGGUACCCUUUUAAGGCACUUCUUACAUCAAGCAACAAACACAAACACCAAACCUCCUGACCUCCGAACUCGACAACUCAAACUCAACAACUCAAACUCAACAACUCAACUCCUGACCUCCGAACUCAACAACUCAACUCCUCAACUUUCAACUCAACCUACCCAUUCCUUGUUCCUAUUUCCAAAUUUCCUAGUUCCGAUUUCCCUCUCCUCUAAUUCCUAGUUUCAGUUUCGACCCUUCUCUUCUCCCCUCCGUGGUCCCCUUGCCGGAUCGGGGACCACUUCGGCCUCGCUUCGCUCCUUUUCUCUCAAGGUUUCUCAAAAAAGAAAAAGAAAUUACGUAAGUGAGCACAGAAACUUCUACCUUCAUCCGAAGUGGGAGCUCUAAAGGCUGUGCUUGGGGUAUCUUUCGAGAAUUGAUACCCCGGGGAAGUGGUAUUGGUGACACCACUUCCCUAUGCCCAUGUUGACCGACGUUGGCUCCAUACGGAGGGAACGGGGGAUUCUUUUGGUUGGGGAAUGUUUUUUGCUUAACACAUCAAAUCACAAAAAAACAUCCCCCUUAAGAAUCCCCCUCCGGUGGUGAAACAGAGAGAGACUGGCCCUUUAGGGACCAGUCUUUCCUUUAAUAAAUAUAACUCUCUCUAUUAUAAUAGAGAGAGCUAUAUUUAUUAUGUUAAUAAAUAGAUAUCUCUAUAUUAUAAUAUAGAGAUAUCUAUUUAUUAUGUAUUUAUAUAUUAUAAAAAUAUAUAAAUAUUAAAUUUAAAUAUUUAAAAUAAAUAUUAAAAUUAAAAAAAAAUAUUUAUAAAUAUUAUAAAUAUUAUAUCUAACAUAAUGAGUAUCUAUAAUAUAAUAUAUUAUAGAUACUCAUUAUGCGUGUCUUCUCGUGCGUUAUAACGCACGUAAUUUUAAUCCUCGUGUGGGACAUUAGGGGGGGUCUUAAAAACUCGAUUCUCUUUACUAAACAUCAUCAUACAACAAGUUUUUAUCCUGGGGUGGGUACCCUUUUAAGGCACUUCUUACAUCAAGCAACAAACACAAACACCAAACCUCCUGACCUCCGAACUCGACAACUCAAACUCAACAACUCAAACUCAACAACUCAACUCCUGACCUCCGAACUCAACAACUCAACUCCUCAACUUUCAACUCAACCUACCCAUUCCUUGUUCCUAUUUCCAAAUUUCCUAGUUCCGAUUUCCCUCUCCUCUAAUUCCUAGUUUCAGUUUCGACCCUUCUCUUCUCCCCUCCGUGGUCCCCUUGCCGGAUCGGGGACCACUUCGGCCUCGCUUCGCUCCUUUUCUCUCAAGGUUUCUCAAAAAAGAAAAAGAAAUUACGUAAGUGAGCACAGAAACUUCUACCUUCAUCCGAAGUGGGAGCUCUAAAGGCUGUGCUUGGGGUAUCUUUCGAGAAUUGAUACCCCGGGGAAGUGGUAUUGGUGACACCACUUCCCUAUGCCCAUGUUGACCGACGUUGGCUCCAUACGGAGGGAACGGGGGAUUCUUUUGGUUGGGGAAUGUUUUUUGCUUAACACAUCAAAUCACAAAAAAACAUCCCCCUUAAGAAUCCCCCUCCGGUGGUGAAACAGAGAGAGACUGGCCCUUUAGGGACCAGUCUUUCCUUUAAUAAAUAUAACUCUCUCUAUUAUAAUAGAGAGAGCUAUAUUUAUUAUGUUAAUAAAUAGAUAUCUCUAUAUUAUAAUAUAGAGAUAUCUAUUUAUUAUGUAUUUAUAUAUUAUAAAAAUAUAUAAAUAUUAAAUUUAAAUAUUUAAAAUAAAUAUUAAAAUUAAAAAAAAAUAUUUAUAAAUAUUAUAAAUAUUAUAUCUAACAUAAUGAGUAUCUAUAAUAUAAUAUAUUAUA
rnacentral:lncRNA from 1 species